GACGAACCGUGCGAACGUUAUUCGGAAUCACUGGGCUUAAAGCGCGUGUAGGCGGGCCGGCACGUCGGUCGCUGAAAUCCCCCGGCUCAACCGGGGAAGGGGCGCCGAUACGACCGGCCUGGAGGGGGGUAGGGGGCGCUGGAACUCACGGUGGAGCGGUGAAAUGCGUUGAGAUCGUGAGGAACGCCCGCGGCGAAAGCGAGCGCCUGGACCCUUUCUGACGCAGAGACGCGAAAGCCAGGGGAGCGAACGGG
rnacentral:rRNA from 1 species